rnacentral:misc_RNA from 1 species
AAGUCGUAACAAGGUUUCCGUAGGUGAACCUGCGGAAGGAUCAUUAUCACGUACUUUUCGUACUAACUAAAUACGCGCACUCAGUCACUUUGGUUAAUUGGAAGGUGUGAGUUUUACAUGUCGAAAAUCUGUCCGGGUGGUUUUCUCGUAGGCUUUUUCACUUCUCACGAUUUGAAACUGCAUGCGUUUUAAGGACAGAUCAUGCAUUACUCUCAAGGCACUGCUUUCGGGCAUGCUUUGGGCCUUCCUGCCUACCUCUGCGACGCACUUUAAAAAAUUGCCGAUUAAUUUAUUAAUCACUUUAACCAUUCUUAAACAGUAGUCUUGAUUUAUAUCAGGACCUCGAACUAAAUUGUGUGGUUGUCUCUGAAAAGAGGUAUAACUACCUUACGAAAUUGCUUCAGAACAACUCUUAACAACGGAUAUCUUGGCUCUC